rnacentral:rRNA from 1 species
ACGGGAGGCAGCAGUGGGGGAUAUUGCACAAUGGGCGAAAGCCUGAUGCAGCAACGCCGCGUGAGGGAAGAAGGCUUUCGGGUUGUAAACCUCUGUCCUUGGUGACGAACACAAUGACGGUAGCCAAAGAGGAAGCCACGGCUAACUACGUGCCAGCAGCCGCGGUAAUACGUAGGUGGCAAGCGUUGUCCGGAUUUACUGGGUGUAAAGGGUGCGCAGGCGGGACUGCAAGUUGGAUGUGAAAUACCGAGGCUCAACCUCGGAGCUGCAUCCAAAACUGUAGUUCUUGAGUGGAGUAGAGGUAAGCGGAAUUCCGAGUGUAGCGGUGAAAUGCGUAGAUAUUCGGAGGAACACCAGUGGCGAAGGCGGCUUACUGGGCUCUAACUGACGCUGAGGCACGAAAGUGUGGGUAGCAAACAGGAUUAGAUACCCUGGUA